AUUGAAAUAAAAAAGGUUCUUCAUGGAUAAGCUUCUAGAGCAAUUCGUUCAGGAGAGUUUUUAUUUGAAGUAUAUAAACAUGAGAUUUUAUACAUAGCACACAGUUCUGGGGGGCUAAGUCUUUAUAGAAGAUCAACCAGGAGGUUCUAUAUUUCAUAAGUAAUAUUCAUUUUCUGAUACUGCUCAAUUUUGUUUCGAAAGAAUUUUCUCAAUGGGAAAAAACUGGAACAACGCCUGAUUUCAAGGAACGCUGUUAGACAUAUAUGUUAUGUGAUAAUCUCUAUCGUAUAUUAUUGAAAUAGGAAAAUCAUUUUAUAUUUUUGAUCAAUAUAUUUUCACUGGCUA